rnacentral:rRNA from 1 species
UACGGAGGGAGCUAGCGUUGUUCGGAAUUACUGGGCGUAAAGCGCACGUAGGCGGCUUUGUAAGUUAGAGGUGAAAGCCCGGGGCUCAACCCCGGAGGUGCAUCCGAAACUCAGGAGCUGGAGGUCGGAAGAGGAGGGUGGAAUACCCAGUGUAGAGGUGAAAUUCGUAGAUAUUGGGUGGAACACCGGUGGCGAAAGCGGCUCUCUGGUCCGAUCCUGACGCUGAGGCGCGAAAGCGUGGGGAGCAAACAGG